rnacentral:rRNA from 1 species
UCGAGUCGGCCUGCGCGGAAGAUGUAACGGGGCUAAACCAUGCACCGAAGCUGCGGCAGCGACACUGUGUGUUGUUGGGUAGGGGAGCGUUCUGUAAGCCUGUGAAGGUGUGCUGUGAGGCAUGCUGGAGGUAUCAGAAGUGCGAAUGCUGACAUAAGUAACGAUAAAGCGGGUGAAAAGCCCGCUCGCCGGAAGACCAAGGGUUCCUGUCCAACGUUAAUCGGGGCAGGGUGAGUCGACCCCUAAGGCGAGGCCGAAAGGCGUAGUCGAUGGGAAACAGGUUAAUAUUCCUGUACUUGGUGUUACUGCGAAGGGGGGACGGAGAAGGCUAUGUUGGCCGGGCGACGGUUGUCCCGGUUUAAGCGUGUAGGCUGGUUUUCCAGGCAAAUCCGGAAAAUCAAGGCUGAGGCGUGAUGACGAGGCACUACGGUGCUGAAGCAACAAAUGCCCUGCUUCCAGGAAAAGCCUCUAAGCAUCAGGUAACAUCAAAUCGUACCCCAAACCGACACAGGUGGUCAGGUAGAGAAUACCAAGGCGCUUGAGAGAACUCGGGUGAAGGAACUAGGCAAAAUGGUGCCGUAACUUCGGGAGAAGGCACGCUGAUAUGUAGGUGAAGUCCCUCGCGGAUGGAGCUGAAAUCAGUCGAAGAUACCAGCUGGCUGCAACUGUUUAUUAAAAACACAGCACUGUGCAAACACGAAAGUGGACGUAUACGGUGUGACGCCUGCCCGGUGCCGGAAGGUUAAUUGAUGGGGUCAGCGCAAGCGAAGCUCUUGAUCGAAGCCCCGGUAAACGGCGGCCGUAACUAUAACGGUCCUAAGGUAGCGAAAUUCCUUGUCGGGUAAGUUCCGACCUGCACGAAUGGCGUAAUGAUGGCCAGGCUGUCUCCACCCGAGACUCAGUGAAAUUGAACUCGCUGUGAAGAUGCAGUGUACCCGCGGCAAGACGGAAAGACCCCGUGAACCUUUACUAUAGCUUGACACUGAACAUUGAGCCUUGAUGUGUAGGAUAGGUGGGAGGCUUUGAAGUGUGGACGCCAGUCUGCAUGGAGCCGACCUUGAAAUACCACCCUUUAAUGUUUGAUGUUCUAACGUGGACCCGUGAUCCGGGUUGCGGACAGUGUCUGGUGGGUAGUUUGACUGGGGCGGUCUCCUCCUAAAGAGUAACGGAGGAGCACGAAGGUUGGCUAAUCCUGGUCGGACAUCAGGAGGUUAGUGCAAUGGCAUAAGCCAGCUUGACUGCGAGCGUGACGGCGCGAGCAGGUGCGAAAGCAGGUCAUAGUGAUCCGGUGGUUCUGAAUGGAAGGGCCAUCGCUCAACGGAUAAAAGGUACUCCGGGGAUAACAGGCUGAUACCGCCCAAGAGUUCAUAUCGACGGCGGUGUUUGGCACCUCGAUGUCGGCUCAUCACAUCCUGGGGCUGAAGUAGGUCCCAAGGGUAUGGCUGUUCGCCAUUUAAAGUGGUACGCGAGCUGGGUUUAGAACGUCGUGAGACAGUUCGGUCCCUAUCUGCCGUGGGCGCUGGAGAACUGAGGGGGGCUGCUCCUAGUACGAGAGGACCGGAGUGGACGCAUCACUGGUGUUCGGGUUGUCAUGCCAAUGGCACUGCCCGGUAGCUAAAUGCGGAAGAGAUAAGUGCUGAAAGCAUCUAAGCACGAAACUUGCCCCGAGAUGAGUUCUCCCUGACCCUUUAAGGGUCCUGAAGGAACGUUGAAGACGACGACGUUGAUAGGCCGGGUGUGUAAGCGCAGCGAUGCGUUGAGCUAACCGGUACUAAUGAACCGUGAGGCUUAACCUU